GUGAAUCCUCUUCUAGUUUUUACAUAUGCAUACUCGUACAUCCCCAUGCUCAAAUAUUUAUGAGUCCAUACUUUUCAAGUGCAGUGUAUCAUACGUUGCCACUUGAAAAAUUCAAAUGCAAAAGCAAUAUGGACCACUCCCCCAAUCCAAUGUAAGUAUUGUGAGCUGAUAAUUAUUAUUGAUGUCAUGCCAAAGGCUUAUAUACACGAUACAAAGGAGAAGAUCUCUAUGUGAUCUUUAGACAGAUAAGAUCGUAUAAUAUCUUUACAAGGAAUAUCUCAGAAAUAUACUGGUAUAUACUAACAUCC
rnacentral:lncRNA from 1 species